rnacentral:rRNA from 1 species
UACGUAUGGGGCAAGCGUUGUCCGGAAUCAUUGGGCGUAAAGAGCGUGUAGGCGGCUCGGUAAGUCCGCUCUGAAAGCCCGGGGCUCAACCCCGGGAGGCGGGCGGAUACUGUCGGGCUAGAGUCCGGAAGAGGCGAGUGGAAUUCCUGGUGUAGCGGUGAAAUGCGCAGAUAUCAGGAGGAACACCAAUGGCGAAGGCAGCUCGCUGGGACGGUACUGACGCUGAGACGCGAAAGCGUGGGGAGCGAACAGG